UACGGAGGGUGCAAGCGUUAUCCGGAUUCACUGGGUUUAAAGGGUGCGUAGGUGGGUCUGUAAGUCCGUGGUGAAAUCUCCGAGCUUAACUUGGAAACUGCCAUGGAUACUAUAGAUCUUGAAUACUGUGGAGGCUAGCGGAAUAUGUCAUGUAGCGGUGAAAUGCUUAGAUAUGACAUAGAACACCAAUUGCGAAGGCAGCUGGCUACACAAAUAUUGACACUGAGGCACGAAAGCGUGGGGAUCAAACAGG
rnacentral:rRNA from 1 species